rnacentral:rRNA from 1 species
AAAGGAAUAGACGGGGACCCGCACAAGCAGCGGAGCAUGUGGUUUAAUUCGAAGCAACGCGAAGAACCUUACCAAGACUUGACAUCGUAUGACCACUAUAGAAAUAUGGUUUCCCGCAAGGGCAUAUAGACAGGUGGUGCAUGGUUGUCGUCAGCUCGUGUCGUGAGAUGUUGGGUUAAGUCCCGCAACGAGCGCAACCCUUAUUGCCGGUUGCUAACAUUUAGUUGAGAACUCCGGUAAGACUGCCGUGGACAACACGGAGGAAGGUGGGGAUGACGUCAAAUCAUCAUGCCCCUUACGUCUUGGGCUACACACGUGCUACAAUGGCUAUUACAAAGAGUCGCUAAACAGUAAUGUCAUGCUAAUCUCAGAAAGAUAGUCUCAGUUCAGAUUGUGGGCUGCAACCCGCCCACAUGAAGCAGGAGUUGCUAGUAAUCCCGAAUCAGAAUGUCGGGGUGAAUGCGUUCCCGGGUCUUGUACACACCGCCCGU